rnacentral:rRNA from 1 species
UACGUAGGGCGCAAGCGUUAUCCGGAAUUAUUGGGCGUAAAGAGCUCGUAGGCGGUUUGUCGCGUCUGCCGUGAAAGUCCGGGGCUCAACUCCGGAUCUGCGGUGGGUACGGGCAGACUAGAGUGAUGUAGGGGAGACUGGAAUUCCUGGUGUAGCGAUGAAAUGCGCAGAUAUCAGGAGGAACACCGGUGGCGAAGGCGGGUCUCUGGGCCGAUACUGACGCUGAGGAGCGAAAGCGUGGGGAGCGAACAGG